UACGUAGGUGGCAAGCGUUGUCCGGAUUUACUGGGCGUAAAGAGCGCGCAGGCGGUCGAAUAAGUCGAAUGUGAAAGCCCCCCGGCUUAACUGGGGGAGGGUCAUUCGAUACUGCUCGACUUUGAAGGCAGGAGAGGGAAGUGGAAUUCCCGGUGUAGUGGUGAAAUGCGUAGAUAUCGGGAGGAACACCAGUGGGCGAAGGGCGACUUUCCUGGCCUGUUCUUUGACGCUGAGGCGCGAAAAGCUGGGGGGAGCAAAACGGGG
rnacentral:rRNA from 1 species